rnacentral:pre_miRNA from 1 species
UAGAUACUCCCUCCGUCCCAAAUUACUUGUCUCGGAAAUGGAUGUAUCUAGAACUAAAAUACAUCUAGAUACAUCCAUUUCUACGACAAGUAAUUCCGAACGGAGGGAGUACAUA